rnacentral:rRNA from 1 species
UACGAAGGGGGCUAGCGUUGCUCGGAAUCACUGGGCGUAAAGGGUGCGUAGGCGGGUCUUUAAGUCAGGGGUGAAAUCCUGGAGCUCAACUCCAGAACUGCCUUUGAUACUGAGGAUCUUGAGUUCGGGAGAGGUGAGUGGAACUGCGAGUGUAGAGGUGAAAUUCGUAGAUAUUCGCAAGAACACCGGUGGCGAAGGCGGCUAUCUGGACCGACAUUGACGCUGAGGCGCGAAAGCGUGGGGAGCAAACAGG